rnacentral:rRNA from 1 species
AUUGAACGCUGGCGGCAGGCCUAAAACAUGCAAGUCGAGCGAGAGGCGGACGGGGGAGUAAUGUAUGGGGACUGCACGAUAGAGGGGGAUAACUACUGGAAACGGUAGGUAAUACCGAGUACAAUCGGAGAACGAAGAUGGGAUUAGCUAGUGGGUGAGGUAAUGGCUCACCAAGGAGACGAGCCCUAGCUGGUGUGAGAGGAUGAUCAGCCACACUGGGAUUGAGACACGGCCCAGACUCCUACGGAGGCAGCAGUGGGGAAUCUUGCACAAUGGGCGCAAGCCUGAUGUAGCCAUGCCGCGUGGAUGAAGAAGGCCCUAGGGUUGUAAAGUACUUUCAGUCGGGAGGCGUUACCGACAGAAGAAGCACCGGCUAACUCCGUGCCAGCAGCCGCGGUAAUUC